CCUGGCACGCAGUGGGUGAUCGUGAUAGACUUGUCCCAUGGAACUGAAUUCCGUCAGGACCAAAGAUGAUCCUGGAGUCGAUCCAGGACACAGGCAGGAAGGGCCUGAACAACCCUGCGCUGUGUCUCCAGGGCUGAAGACAUUGAUCCUUGCACACCCACCCUGCUUGCCCAGGGCUCUCCAGGACAGCUAGGUCCCCUCUGGCUAAGAGAGAAUGAGGGUGUCAGCCCUCAGGAAACAAUUCCUGAGGGGGCCAGGGCAUUUCACAAAGGACAAAAAUAGACAGGAGAGAGGAGAAAGACAAAGAGAUGGCUCAUGGAAUCCUUUCAGGAAUGAAGGUGUGUGGCCAGCAAGGGCCUCGGAGAGCAAACAUCUAUGAAAGGGACAAGUUAUUCCUCUCUGGGGAGAUGUUGAAUUAAGAUGAAGAGCCUAGAAACGUCCAGCUUCUCUCUUGCUAUUCCUUUCUCCCGGUGGACUGCCGGGGCUCCUGGGAGAGGAUUUCCAAUUAAAUCUCAUGUCUUCAGUAUGGAUUCCCAAAA